rnacentral:rRNA from 1 species
AUGGGUAACGCCCAAGUCGGACCGACCAGGAACCUCGCCGAUGCCGCGCGCUCCGUGCGGACGUUCAAGAUCGACGGCUUCAGCUCGACUUCCACGGCCCCGGCCACGGUAGCCAGCGGUCACGACGAGUGCAUCGUGGUAUGCUCCAGGUGGAGCGUCGGCUGGCACGAGUGGGAGAUCCGCUGCUACCCUGCGUCCUCGGUGUGCAGCAUGUGGAUGUCGCUCAAGCUCGUGCUCCUCGCCCAUCCCGCCGCCACCGGAGACGUCGUCACUGCGCGCCUAGACUGCUGGCUCGUCGAUCCCGCGGGUUUGGCCGAGCAGUCGGAGCCCAGGACGGUGUCCGCAGCCUUCGCGCGCCACUGCGGCGGCGAGUCGGCGCCGCUCGUGCUGGCGCACAGGCGCGACCUCGAGAUCUCCGGCUACCUCCGGGGCGACGGCACCCUCACCGUGAAAUGCGCCAUCACGGUGCUCCGGGAACAGCGCCCAGGCGUGGACGUGCCCGCGUCGCUUCCUGUGCCGGCACCUAGGGGAGCUCCUGCGGAGCGGGACGGGAUCCGACAUCACGUUCGUUGUCUCCGGCGAAACGUUUGCCGCGCAGCGCACAAGGUCGUCCUGGCCGCGAGGUCACCGCUCUUCAUGGCCGAGUUCUUCGGGGACGCGAGCGACAAGAAGUGCGCGCGGCGCCUGGAGGUCCACGGCAUGGAGGCGGCGGAGUUCAAGGCCAUGCUGCACUUCAUCUACACCGACACGACAACGGAGCUCGACCGACACGACGGUGAGGAGUCGGUGGCGUUGACCUGUGGCCUCCUCGCGGCCGCGGACAGGACGGCGGCCACGAUUCUGAAUCUGGCGGAGCUGAACAACUGCCCACGGCUCAAGGCGAGGUGCGUUCGCAAACCUCUUUUUACCGCACUUUUUGUCAGUAUGAUGCAUGUAUGA